rnacentral:hammerhead_ribozyme from 1 species
AUUCAGUUGACAAGUCCAGAAUAGGACGAAACGCGCUUCCUUGAU